UCCGGAAGGGGACCUGCGGAAGGAUCAUUAAUGAAUUUUAGGACGUUCUUUUUAGAAGUCCGACCAUUUCAUUUUCUUACACUGUGCACACACUUCUUUUUACACACACUUUUAACACAUUAGUAUAAGAAUGUAAUAGUCUCUUAAUUGAGCAUAAACAAAAAUAAAACUUUCAGCAACGGAUCUCUUGGCUCUCGCAUCGAUGAAGAACGCAGCGAAUUGCGAUAAGUAAUGUGAAUUGCAGAAUUCAGUGAAUCAUCGAAUCUUUGAACGCACCUUGCACUCUUUGGUAUUCCGAAGAGUAUGUCUGUUUGAGUAUCAUGAAACUCUCAACCCCCCUAUUUUGUAAUGAAAUGGGCGUGGGCUUGGAUUAUGGUUGUCUGUCGGCGUAAUUGCCGGCUCAACUGAAAUACACGAGCAACCCUAUUGAAAUAGACGGUUUGACUUGGCGUAAUAAUUUAUUUCGCUAAGGACGUCUUCUUCAAAUAUAAGAGGUGCUUCUAAUGCGCUUUUAUAGCACUUUAAGCUUUAGAUCUCAAAUCAGUCAGGACUACCCGCUGAACUUAAGCAUAUCAAUAAGCGGAGGAAAAAGAUCUUUGAAUUUUAGGACGUUCUUUU
rnacentral:rRNA from 1 species